ACUCUUUAAUCAACAUAGAGAGAGAGUAAUAUUAAUUUCUUCUCUAACUAAAUUAACCAUAAUUUUCUCUAGUUGAUCAAAUUAAUGGCAUCUUGGACACAAAGACAAAACAAACUAUUUGAAGAGGCUCUAGCUAUAUAUGAUAGGGAAACACCUGACAAGUGGCACAAUGUAGCUAAAGUUGUUGGAAAAUCUGUUGAGGAUGUUAAAAAGCACUAUGAGUUACUCAAAGAAGAUAUCAAACGCAUUGAGCGUGGUGAUAUCCCUUUUCCUUAUAAAGGUUCGUGAUUCUUUAGAAUCCAGCACUUGCAGAAUUGAUAUGUUUGCUUGGUAAAUCGAUGUAUCUCCAAGGGUGAUUCCUAAAGGAUUUCACUUUCCAUGUAAUUUAAUAUAUUGGAGUUCUCUUCCACAGAUGAACUGAAUCGUUGCAAAUAAUAAUAAAACGAUAAUAUGAAAUGUUAAAUUUAAUAAUU